UUUUGGUGAUAUAUCCAUAACAUCAAAUUUACCAGCUUAACCAUUUUAAGCGUGCAGCCCAGCAGCAUUGAGGACAUCCUCUUGUUGUGCAACCAUCACCACCAUCCAUUUCCAGAACUCUUUUCUUGCAAAACUGAAACUUUGUCCCCAUUAAACAAUAGCUCCUCAAUUCCUCCCUCAGAAUUACAAUUCUUAAAUCAAGUAAGUUUUUGAAUCAAGAUCAUUUUCUUUCAACUACUUAGUUUUUGUUUGUUAAAACAACAUUUAGUACAAUUUAAAAGCUUUUUGAGAAUUCCAGUAUGAUGCAGUUUAUCCUAAUCAGAAAGGCAUCCUUACUCACUUCAAAGCAUUUGGAGACUGAUCCCUGUCUAAGGCUAUGCCAUCAUUUUUACGGCUACAACCAACCAUAAUUUCUACUUUAGAAAGUUGAACAACAGAAGAGAGUUGUCUGUAAAUCCAGACCAGAUGACAAGAACAGAAGUUUUUGGAAUCCAUUACAGGAACGGCUUAUCGCCUGAUGUCAGUCCCAUUUCCAUUCAAAUAGGAUAAAGAAGGGGAAGUUUCCUGAAUACACAAAACCCAUCGACUAUCUGGUCUGGCUGGGAGAAUGUACUGGUCACCCCAACCCACACCCCAUAAUUAUGCCUUCAAACAUGUCUGCCACACGAGGCAGAAUAUUCUAGCUGCUAUCAGAGCCCUCAGACAGACUUCAUAACAUCCAGUUCAACAGAUAACAAGUCACAAAGAGACACUAUUCUUUGCAAAUGACAAAGAAUUUUUCAUCUCAGGCUUUUAAUGUGUAAGGGCAUAUAUCUUGAAGGGAAAGCUUUUAUUACUGCUAAUCAAAGAAAAGAGGCUUUUUUUAAAAGCAAAAUUUAUCAGGAGUUUCUACAGGACAAACGGUGUGACCCAGAGCUUUGUUCCUGGAGAAGAUGUGUCUUUGAGGACAAUAGAAACUGCAACAGGAUUGUCUGAUGGUCCUCCUCCCCAUAGGCACAAGACAGCCCCUUACAAACAGGCUCCCACCCUGCUGCGGAGGUAGUGAUGAAAAUAGUCAAUCACCUCACAUUUAUUUGGCAUUGUGUGGUUCCCCCGGGUAUCAUUUCUCUGCUCUGAGCUUUGUAGGCACUGCUGUUCUGCUUGCUAACGACAUUAACAGGAGUAUGAUGUCUCAUCUAUGGGCAGUGACCAUUUUUAGCAAACGCACUUGGGUGUGGAAAGCUCCAAAUUCACCAAAUGAUACACAUUCAAAGGGUUCCUUUAGAGCAAACUGUAUUCCCACCAUUUGUUACUUUAAAAAGAACUGAGGUAGAAAUAUCCUUCUGUGCGUGUUUGUGUGUGUGUGUGUGUGUGUGUGUGUGUGUGUCUGUUUCAUCCUAUGUGCCCUGUUUAUUGAUUACACAUCGAGCACUUUGACUCUUUACCCUUUUCUUAAGGAAACCGGGUCAGGGCUCACUGUAG
rnacentral:lncRNA from 1 species